CAUGUAUAGUGUGAGAGAGAUGAGCAGAAAACAAAUGUGUACUACAGUGCACAAAAAUGCAUUGCUGGGUCUCAGGAGGAUAUGGCCUGUGAAGUUCCUG